rnacentral:lncRNA from 1 species
CGCCCAUCGCCAUGGUUACCAUGUCACCCUCCCCGGAGAAGGCCUCUGGUUUGGUUUUGCCGCAAUUUCCAUAUUAAAGAAAGAAGUUCCCCUCAUCUCACGAUCAAGCACCUGGGGCGGAAUCUGAUCUCACAAAUAAAGAUCUGGCGCGCAUCAAGUAAUACUAGAGAGCGGCGGGGGGGGGGUAUUCUGAACAUAUGCAAAACACUUUCCUCCCCGUCUCCAAUGUGCAAUUGGAAAGCUCACAAACAGGACCUGAUAGCAUUGCCCUCUCCUAUGUUAUUUCUCUGUAACUGGUAUUCAGAUGCAUGGCACCUCUAAUCCUGGGGGUAUCAUGGAUAUCCUUCCCUUAAUUUGCCUAAUCUCUUUUCAAAACCAUCUAUCUGAGGCCAUUAUCACAUUUUAUGGGCACAAAUGCCAUUGUUUAUGUGUUGUGUUGUGUGAAGAAAUAGUUCCUUUUGUUUGCUCUAAAUCUCCCACCAUUCAGCUUUAUUGGAUGAUUCCAGGUUCUAGUAUUAUGGGGGGGGGGACAUACCUUCCAUAAUAAUUCUUUUCAUAUUUAAGGUGACACAACCUUAAAUAUUUUUCUAGUGCUUUGCUUCUAGAAAAAAGGUGCAGGUACUGUGUACCCUCUGAGUACCACCAGAAAAAAACACUGUUUCUCUCUCUAACUUGUCUCUGUUAUUGCAUUUGUGGCCAAGAAAGGAAUGCCAAAUCCAUUGCAAGAUGCUCUGACUGUGUUCUACAAUAGCAGAUCAGCAGACAUUUAAUUACUGAUUACUCAAAGCCAAGUAUUUCCUGUAACUGCAUAAGCCUAACAUUAUAAGGACACUUACAAGUGUGAUAUCCUUGAACUCUAAUAAGACAUGUCAUACAUUUUUUUCAGAAGAAGAACUUGUUUUGUUUUUUCCCUUUCCCAGCCACGUGGAUCUUAUUGGCUAUGACUAGUUUGAAGGACUGGUCUGCUCAAAACAACACUGGAAAAGGAACUGGCAUAGUUGUUUGACAGAGUCUUUAUACUCUGAAGUCGGAUGUCAAUUUCAGAGGAACUUCCAGUAUGCAGCUGAAACAGAACAAAGAGGCAGUUUGACAGACAGCUGUGGGACUUCUGCUUGCCAAACUCUGAUCCCAGAGACAAAAACAAAUUAAUAAUAUAUCUCCAACAACAGAUAAGUGACAUAAAGCUUUAUUGAAUUCCAGAGCCAUCUGGUUGGCCACUGGAAAACGAGAUGCUGGGCUUUGAUCUGAUGUGUGUUUGGGUAACUGUUGGACCCAUACACCUGGCAAGGUUCACUGGGGCUUAAUAAUAAUAAUAAUAAAUUUUUAUUUAUAUCCCGCCCUCCCCAGCCGAAGCUGGGCUCAGGGCGGCUAACAACAGGCUUGAUGCCUGCCCUGCCUUCCCUGCUGCAGUAAGUGCCACUGAGCCUACCACCACCACCAAUCACUCCCCCACAGUCCCCAGAUGCCAGCUGGCUCUAUUAAUGUUUGAAGUUUCACUCUCACCACAUCAAUCAUCUGUUAGGUGGUAUGAAAGAAGAGGUGACGGGGCGCAUAGCAGGUGACUGACCCUGAAUGCAGGUUGCCAGUGCUACAUAACUCCACUCCCAGUGAGGCUUCCUUGGACCCAGAACCAGCCUGUCCUCCCCAUGCCUAAGUUUGUUCGGGUUACAUAUACAGUAAAAGGAGGCGCUAAACUAGUACUGUAUGGGGCCAUGUAGGCAAGGAACUGAGCACCCAUUCUAUUAAUAGGCUUUUAUUUUUAUCAUAAUAAAAGUAAAUAAUAAUAAUAAUAAUAAUAAUAAUAAUCUAUUAUUUAUACCCCACCCAUUUGGCUCGGUUUCCCAGCUGCUCUGGGUGGCUCCCGACAGAAUAAUGAUGAUGGUGAUGGUGAUGCAAUAAAACAUCAAACAUGAAAAACUUCCCUUUGGAACACUGCUCCUAGGUAAUUCAGACAAGCACCUACAAUUGUGAUAUUUCAUUGCCUGCUGAAAACAUUAUGUUUUGCCAAGCAUUUUUAGAUAAUUAAGGGACACGGGUGGCGCUGUGGGUUGAACCAAUUUGAUUCAUUGUUGGUCUUUCAAUCUGUAUUUUAUAAUUUUGUUACAUUUUAUUGUAUUCCACUGUGAUUUUUUAAAAAUUAGUU